rnacentral:misc_RNA from 1 species
UACGAAGGGUGCAAGCGUUGUCCGGAAUUAUUGGGCGUAAAGGGUUCGUAGGCGCACAGGAAAGUUACAUUUCAAAGACCGAGGCUCAACCUCGGGUCGGGAUGUAAUACUACUUGUGUUGAAGGAUGUAGGGGCUAUUGGAACUUUGCAUGUAGGAGUGAAAUCCGUUGAUAUGCAAAGGAACACCGAGGGCGAAGGCAGAUAGCUGGACAUCUCUUGACGCUAAGGAACGAAAGCUAGGGGAGCGAAACGG